AACGAACGCUGGCGGCAGGCUUAACACAUGCAAGUCGAACGGGCGUAGCAAUACGUCAGUGGCGGACGGGUGAGUAACACGUGGGAAUAUGCCUUUCGGUUCGGAACAACUCGGGGAAACCCGUGCUAAUUCCGGAUACGCCCUUACGGGGAAAGAUUUAUCGCCGAAAGAUUAGCCCGCGUUGGAUUAGCUAGUUGGUGAGGUAAAGGCUCACCAAGGCGACGAUCCAUAGCUGGUUUGAGAGGAGAUCAGCCACAUUGGGACUGAGACACGGCCCAAACUCCUACGGGAGGCAGCAGUGGGGAAUAUUGGACAAUGGGCGCAAGCCUGAUCCAGCCAUGCCGCGUGAGUGAUGAAGCC
rnacentral:rRNA from 1 species